rnacentral:rRNA from 1 species
GACGAACGCUGGCGGCGUGCUUAACACAUGCAAGUCGAACGGAAAGGCCCUGCUUUUGUGGGGUGCUCGAGUGGCGAACGGGUGAGUAACACGUGAGUAACCUGCCCUUGACUUUGGGAUAACUUCAGGAAACUGGGGCUAAUACCGGAUAGGAGCUCCUGCUGCAUGGUGGGGGUUGGAAAGUUUCGGCGGUUGGGGAUGGACUCGCGGCUUAUCAGCUUGUUGGUGGGGUAGUGGCUUACCAAGGCAUCGACGGGUAGCCGGCAUGAGAGGGGGAACGGCCACAAUGGGACUGAGAUACGGCGCAGAGUGCUACGGGAGGCAGCAGUGGGAAAUAUUGCACAGUGGGCGGGAGCCUGAUGCAGCAGCGCCGGGUGCGGGAUGACGGCCUUCGGGUGGGAAACCGCUGUAGCCUGUGACGAAGCGUGAGUGACGGUAAUGGGUAAAGAAGCACCGGCUAACUACGUG